rnacentral:tRNA from 1 species
GUAAGAGUAGCAUAGUAGUAUGUUUUUGAUUUAGGUUCAGGUUACGUCGGUGCAAUUCCGGUUUCUUAUA